rnacentral:lncRNA from 1 species
GCGGGCAUCUUCCUCCCCAGUGUUGUUCUACAACACACAGACAUCACUACUAGAAUUAGAGAGCCUAACUUGGUUCCUUAUUCUAUUAUCUCCCCCUUAGCUUUAAGUGAUCAUUAUAAGUAUUUGGACCCCUUUAAUAAACUCUAAACUGAACUACAACCACUUAACUCUAGAGUCUGAAUAUAACAAUACACAUAAAUAAUAAACUCACCUUGAAAGACUACACCUGAAAGUAUAAAACCCAC